rnacentral:rRNA from 1 species
UACGUAGGGGGCGAGCGUUGUCCGGAUUUAUUGGGCGUAAAGAGCGUGUAGGCGGCCAGGUAGGUCUGCUGUGAAAACUCGAGGCUCAACCUCGAGACGCCGGUUGAAACCAUCUGGCUAGAGUCCGGAAGAGGAGAGUGGAAUUCCUGGUGUAGCGGUGAAAUGCGCAGAUAUCAGGAAGAACACCCGUGGCUAAGGCGGCUCUCUAGUACGGUACUGACGCUGAGGCGCGAAAGCGUGGGGAGCGAACAGG